rnacentral:rRNA from 1 species
UACGAAGGGGGCUAGCGUUGUUCGGAAUUACUGGGCGUAAAGCGCACGUAGGCGGAUCAUUUAGUCAGGGGUGAAAUCCCGGGGCUCAACCUCGGAACUGCCUUUGAUACUGAUGGUCUCGAGUCCGGAAGAGGUGAGUGGAAUUCCUAGUGUAGAGGUGAAAUUCGUAGAUAUUAGGAAGAACACCAGUGGCGAAGGCGGCUCACUGGUCCGGUACUGACGCUGAGGUGCGAAAGCGUGGGGAGCAAACAGG